UGAAGGCUCUGCCACAGGCCCCAACUCCAAGCAUAGUCACAUUAAAUAUUAGGUUCCAACAUAUAACUGAGGGGAUGAGUGUGAACAUUCAUACCACACCAAGUAGUAUAAAGAUAAGAAAAUGUUAAGGAUAAACAUAAAUUCAAUGUCUCACUGAUGGAACCCUUGUCCUGAGUGGCCUUACAGAGAAGCCCAUGUAGUGAAUGAUUGAGGCCUCUUGCCAACAGCCAUGUGAACAGUUUUGGAAGUGGAUCCUCCAGCUCCAGUGAAAUCUUCAGAGACUACGGCCCUGUUGGCACACUGACUGAAAGCUUCCCCAUGAGACUUGAAAAAUAUUAAGACUGAG
ensembl:lncRNA